rnacentral:lncRNA from 1 species
AAACCUGGUGUGGGCUCCUUAGGGCAAGUGAGAUCGCAAGGGCCAUGGUAAGAUAGCUUCUCCUGUCUUACUGCAGGAAGUCCUCAUCCCUGAGAUGAAGUGGAGAAAGGUAUGCCCUUCCUCCAGGUCCCUGUCUCUCCCAGACAACAUCCCUUGUAUCCCUCCAUCAUCCGUGGACUCCACAGACAGUUUCUUCCCCUCCAGGAAGCCUCCAAUGUCUGGUAAGUUCGGGAGGGCUUGUCCAUGGCAACUACUUGCAAAGGCCAGACUUUCUGUCUUCCCAGUUCCAUAAAAAGGGCUCACCACAGCCAGCAGGGCUUCUGAGAGCUGAUUUUUUUUUUCUCCCAAUCCAUAAAGAAAAGUCAAGAGCCCAAGUAGCUUCAGAAAAUGGUGGGAGGUGGGCAUGGCCCAUGCCAGGCUGGGGUCCUGCCUGCCCUAAGAAGAUGCCGAACUGCUCUCCCACUGCAAAGAAUGCUGUCUAUGAGGAGGAUGAGCUGGAGGAGGAGCCCAGGAGCACUGGGGAGCUGAGGCUCUGGGAUUACCGGCUCCUCAAGGUCUUCUUUGUGCUGAUCUGCUUCCUGGUCAUGUCCUCAUCCUACCUGGCGUUCCGUAUUUCUCGGCUAGAGCAGCAGUUAUGCUCCUUGAGUUGGGAUGACCCAGUCCCUGGGCACAGGUAACAGCCACUUGGCCUUUGUCCCCAUUCCUUCUCCAAGAAGAAUGUUCUGGGUGCUAAGUCUCCACCAAUGAUCCCUGUGGUUUAUGCUGCUGCUGUGCUAAGACUGCCUAUGAAGGAAAAUAUUCCAGAUCCCUCCUCCUCCCCGCAGCUCUUCUCUUCCCUCUAUGAGAGAUCUGAAGUACGUGUUUACAAAGUAACUGGCUUCUACAAUUUUUGGACUCAAGCAAAAAGCCAGAUUUUUUGGAACCAACUGAGGAAUUCUGUACACAAAGCUUCAGCAAACACUUAGAGAAAACAAACAAACAAACAAACUGGGUCCUUGGAAACAGUUCUGGCACACAGGCAGAACACUGGAGGCCACCUCAAAGGACAGAGGCCAUGCUUUCGCAUUUGGAAUGUGGCUCUGCCACACAGCUCACUCCUAUGGUGGGGUCAGAGGUCAGAACACAAACCACCCAUGUGGGCUCUGCUCCCUCCCAACACUCUGUGUUCCCACAGGGCUUCUCUGCGGGCAGCCAGGCACCUGUCAGGCUUGGGCAGGGGCCUGCUGAGAAUCUGUGAAUGCAGAGGGGAGGGCUCAUGGCCAGGAUUCCAGCCAGAGAUGAAUUUCCAUGCUCUGGGCCAGGGCUCUGUGCCGGCCCCUCAUGAGGUGGCUGGCUGCAUUAUGGGGAGAUGCUGCCCACGGCGGAGAUGGUGGCAGUGGCUGUGAAGAACAGAGGUACCUGAAUUCUGUGUCCUCAGCUGUCACUUUCCGGUGAGACAAGUGGAGCAGGGCCUUUGAUCACUGUGGUCACAGACCUGGUACUGGGUUUUGCCCUUGUGUGCUCAAACAUUUCUAAGGUGUCCCAAGCCCUGGAAAUAGGGAAGGGAAGGGUGGAGGCUUGGAUCUGAGGUCUUGCUGUCCACUCCCUGCCUGCCUGCCCGCAUCUCAGGCAUGGCCAACAGCAGCCCGUUGAGGGGGGCUUGUCUGGACAGUUGCGUGUGAUGGUGUUGAGCCAUCACAGGGCAGAGGUCACUUGUGUCACCCCCAUAGUCAUUGGGUUGCAGGCCAUGGAGGAGGGACCUCCACUCCAUGGGGCCUAUUCUCCAUUAAGGUGGAAGUGUCCACUGUGGGCCUAGCACAGUGCAGGAACCAGGCCAGGGGGUCUAUCUCAUACCUCUGGGGACAGGAAAGGUAGAGGAUGAGGAGGUUGGACGUGGUGGUGGCUUUGCCUUGGAUAUUCCUCUUCCUCUAUCAAGGCCUUCUCUUCUUCUCUGUGUCCCACAACUCUGGCCUCAUCGCCCUGGGACUCCCAUCUGCUAAGAUAGUGGCUUUGGAGGUUCUGGAAGGGCUUAGUGAGGAGGCCAGAAGUAUCAGGGAAAGUUGCUGGUGAUGGGGUGGGCGGUGUCAGAAGCAGCCACUGUUUUCCCCUCUUCAGACACUGAGAGAUUAAUCAGGGAAUGAAAUCCAGGUGGAAAUUAUUUAUUGUGAAGCAGACGACUGUCUGUCCUGUUUAUGACAAACCCAAAUGAGAAUUGGAGGGACUACCAGUAAGUGGUCUCUUCAUGCUCUCCCCAUCCCAGUUUUUAGGAUGAAAUUUAGAGCCUGGCCUUUUGUGUUGCUUGCACCAAAUCUGUAUGUCUCAGGUGAAACUCACUGUUCCAUGAAUGGUCAUCCUUUUUUUUUUUUUUUUUUUGGAACCAGCCCCUUUCACCCUUUCAUCCGUCUUUUUUUUUUAGGAAAAUAACCCUUCUUGCUUCAGCACUUCUCCCUGGUCCUUGCUGAAAGACAGAGAUAAAAAUCCAUUCUCUGAGCCUUGCUUGGUUGUCAGAGGCCAUGAGAGGUGCCAGUUAUAGGUGGAUGUGCCAAGAUGCUGGUGAACUUGGUCUUCAGCUAUACCCAGGCUCAGAAAGGGCAAGAGCCAUGCUGCAGCGUAGGUGACUUUGGAGGUGCACUUGGGGCCCAGGGCUUUGAGUGUUGCGGGUGUGCCUGUCCCUCCAGAUAGUGCUCUGUUUCUCUCUGUUGUCCCCCUGCCUGGUCCUCUGGGGCCACUGUGCUUUCUGCUGUGUGCAUUUAUAAAUGAUGUGUAUUUUAUAUAGACCUGCUUGCAUUGGCUGAUGCUCCUCUAAUUCCCUGAGUUUGAUUCAACCACCCUUGGGUUGUUUUGCUAUGGCCUUAGCCUUUGAAAAUAUUUUAAAAUAAAAAACUUGAUUUUUCUAGUG